rnacentral:rRNA from 1 species
AGCGAACGCUGGCGGCAGGCCUAACACAUGCAAGUCGAACGCGUGUAGCAAUACACGAGUGGCAGACGGGUGAGUAACACGUGGGAACGUGCCCUUCAGUUCGGAAUAACUCAGGGAAACUUGAGCUAAUACCGGAUACGCCCUUACGGGGAAAGAUCUAUCGCCGAUGGAUCGGCCCGCGUCUGAUUAGCUAGUUGGUGAGGUAACGGCUCACCAAGGCGACGAUCAGUAGCUGGUCUGAGAGGAUGAUCAGCCACACUGGGACUGAGACACGGCCCAGACUCCUACGGGAGGCAGCAGUGGGGAAUAUUGGACAAUGGGCGAAAGCCUGAUCCAGCCAUGCCGCGUGAGUGAUGAAGGCCCUAGGGUUGUAAAGCUCUUUCGGCGGGGACGAUAAUGACGGUACCCGCAGAAGAAGCCCCGGCUAACUUCGUGCCAGCCGCCGCGGUAACAC